rnacentral:tRNA from 1 species
GCUGGCAUAGCUCAGUAGGUAGAGCACCUGAUUCGUAACCAGGGGGUCGCAGGUUCGAUUCCUGUUGCCAGCACCA